rnacentral:rRNA from 1 species
UACGGAGGGGGCUAGUGUUGUUCGGAAUUACUGGGCGUAAAGCGUGCGUAGUCGGUUAUCUAAGUCAGAUGUGAAAGCCCCGGGCUCAACCUGGGAAUUGCAUUUGAGACUGCAUAGCUAGGGUGCGGAAGAGGGAAGCGGAAUUUCCGGUGUAGCGGUGAAAUGCGUAGAUAUCGGAAGGAACACCAGUGGCGAAAGCGGCUUCCGUGGUCCAGC